AAAAAUACACAUACUGUGAGCUCGAUGAGUAGGGCGGGACACGUGGUAUCCUGUCUGAAUAUGGGGGGACCAUCCUCCAAGGCUAAAUACUCCUGACUGACCGAUAGUGAACCAGUACCGUGAGGGAAAGGCGAAAAGAACCCCGGCGAGGGGAGUGAAAAAGAACCUGAAACCGUGUACGUACAAGCAGUGGGAGCACGCUUAGGCGUGUGACUGCGUACCUUUUGUAUAAUGGGUCAGCGACUUAUAUUCUGUAGCAAGGUUAACCGAAUAGGGGAGCCGAAGGGAAACCGAGUCUUAACUGGGCGUUAAGUUGCAGGGUAUAGACCCGAAACCCGGUGAUCUAGCCAUGGGCAGGUUGAAGGUUGGGUAACACUAACUGGAGGACCGAACCGACUAAUGUUGAAAAAUUAGCGGAUGACUUGUGGCUGGGGGUGAAAGGCCAAUCAAACCGGGAGAUAGCUGGUUCUCCCCGAAAGCUAUUUAGGUAGCGCCUCGUGAAUUCAUCUCCGGGGGUAGAGCACUGUUUCGGCAAGGGGGUCAUCCCGA
rnacentral:rRNA from 1 species